GCCAGCGGUGAUAGCCCAUUGACUACACUUAUUCCCAAUGGAUCACUUAAGUUAAGCAACGUCUUGUGUGGUCAGUAUACGGAUGGGUGACCACUUGAGCAAUCGCGUGCUGUUGGCU
rfam:Asian citrus Psyllid, Diaphorina citri - Florida Strain, whole genome shotgun sequence.